GAUGAACGCUGGCGGCGUGCCUAAUACAUGCAAGUCGAGCGAACGGACGAGAAGCUUGCUUCUCUGAUGUUAGCGGCGGACGGGUGAGUAACACGUGGAUAACCUACCUAUAAGACUGGGAUAACUUCGGGAAACCGGAGCUAAUACCGGAUAAUAUUUUGAACCGCAUGGUUCAAAAGUGAAAGACGGUCUUGCUGUCACUUAUAGAUGGAUCCGCGCUGCAUUAGCUAGUUGGUAAGGUAACGGCUUACCAAGGCAACGAUGCAUAGCCGACCUGAGAGGGUGAUCGGCCACACUGGAACUGAGACACGGUCCAGACUCCUACGGGAGGCAGCAGUAGGGAAUCUUCCGCAAUGGGCGAAAGCCUGACGGAGCAACGCCGCGUGAGUGAUGAAGGUCUUCGGAUCGUAAAACUCUGUUAUUAGGGAAGAACAUAUGUGUAAGUAACUGUGCACAUCUUGACGGUACCUAAUCAGAAAGCCACGGCUAACUACGUGCCAGCAGCCGCGGUAAUACGUAGGUGGCAAGCGUUAUCCGGAAUUAUUGGGCGUAAAGCGCGCGUAGGCGGUUUUUUAAGUCUGAUGUGAAAGCCCACGGCUCAACCGUGGAGGGUCAUUGGAAACUGGAAAACUUGAGUGCAGAAGAGGAAAGUGGAAUUCCAUGUGUAGCGGUGAAAUGCGCAGAGAUAUGGAGGAACACCAGUGGCGAAGGCGACUUUCUGGUCUGUAACUGACGCUGAUGUGCGAAAGCGUGGGGAUCAAACAGGAUUAGAUACCCUGGUAGUCCACGCCGUAAACGAUGAGUGCUAAGUGUUAGGGGGUUUCCGCCCCUUAGUGCUGCAGCUAACGCAUUAAGCACUCCGCCUGGGGAGUACGACCGCAAGGUUGAAACUCAAAGGAAUUGACGGGGACCCGCACAAGCGGUGGAGCAUGUGGUUUAAUUCGAAGCAACGCGAAGAACCUUACCAAAUCUUGACAUCCUUUGACAACUCUAGAGAUAGAGCCUUCCCCUUCGGGGGACAAAGUGACAGGUGGUGCAUGGUUGUCGUCAGCUCGUGUCGUGAGAUGUUGGGUUAAGUCCCGCAACGAGCGCAACCCUUAAGCUUAGUUGCCAUCAUUAAGUUGGGCACUCUAAGUUGACUGCCGGUGACAAACCGGAGGAAGGUGGGGAUGCCGUCAAAUCAUCAUGCCCCUUAUGAUUUGGGCUACACACGUGCUACAAUGGACAAUACAAAGGGCAGCGAAACCGCGAGGUCAAGCAAAUCCCAUAAAGUUGUUCUCAGUUCGGAUUGUAGUCUGCAACUCGACUACAUGAAGCUGGAAUCGCUAGUAAUCGUAGAUCAGCAUGCUACGGUGAAUACGUUCCCGGGUCU
rnacentral:rRNA from 1 species